rnacentral:misc_RNA from 1 species
GUAAUGCGAUAAGUAGUGUGAAUUGCAGAAUUCAGUGAAUCAUCGAAUCUUUGAACGCACAUUGCGCCCUUUGGUAUUCCUUAGGGCAUGCCUGUUCGAGCAUCAUCUAAACCUUCAAGCCCUGCUUGGUGUUGGGUGCCUGUCCCGCCUCCGCGCGCGGACUCACCUCAAAUCCAUUGGCGGCCCCCGCGUCGGCCACGAGCGCAGCAGAAACGCGAACUCGUGAGCCCGUCCGGGCGGCUCCCAGAAGCUACACCCACCCAGUUUGACCUCGGAUCAGGUAGGGAUACCCGCUGAACUUAAGC